GCACUCUAUGAGACGUGCCCCGUUGGCCGU
rnacentral:sRNA from 1 species